CAGUCGCCACGGGAAUACGGAGGAUCCAAGCGUUAUCCGGAUUUAUUGGGUUUAAAGGGUGCGUAGGUGGCCUGUUAAGUCAGGGGUGAAAGACGGUAGCUCAACUAUCGCAGUGCCUUUGAUACUGACGGGCUUGAAUGAACUAGAGGUAGGCGGAAUGUGACAAGUAGCGGUGAAAUGCAUAGACAUGUCACAGAACACCAAUUGCGAAGGCAGCUUACUAUGGUUUUAUUGACACUGAGGCACGAAAGCGUGGGGAUCAAACAGGAUUAGAUACCCCCGUAGUCCCUGUCUCUUAUAC
rnacentral:rRNA from 1 species